UCGCUUGAUUCGGGUGGGAACAUUACAAUCAAAUGUGGUGUUAAUGGCCUGAAGAUUUUAUCAUAUUAUCCACCAUUCAUCCUGCAACCGGACUGGCAAAUACUGCUGAAUAUGUUCAGAAGCAGAAAUUGGAACAAAGGAAAACAUCA